rnacentral:siRNA from 1 species
UUGCAUGUCUCGUCUUUAGCAACA